rnacentral:rRNA from 1 species
AGAGCGAACGCUGGCGGCAGGCUUAACACAUGCAAGUCGAGCGGGCGUAGCAAUACGUCAGCGGCAGACGGGUGAGUAACGCGUGGGAACGUACCUUUUGGUUCGGAACAACCCAGGGAAACUUGGGCUAAUACCGGAUAAGCCCUUACGGGGAAAGAUUUAUCGCCGAAAGAUCGGCCCGCGUCUGAUUAGCUAGUUGGUUAGGUAAUGGCUCACCAAGGCGACGAUCAGUAGCUGGUCUGAGAGGAUGAUCAGCCACAUUGGGACUGAGACACGGCCCAAACUCCUACGGGAGGCAGCAGUGGGGAAUAUUGGACAAUGGGCGCAAGCCUGAUCCAGCCAUGCCGCGUGAGUGAUGAAGGCCCUAGGGUUGUAAAGCUCUUUUGUGCGGGAAGAUAAUGACGGUACCGCAAGAAUAAGCCCCGGCUAACUUCGUGCCAGCAGCCG